rnacentral:rRNA from 1 species
CCUACGGGGGGCAGCAGUGAGGAAUAUUGGUCAAUGGACGAGAGUCUGAACCAGCCAAGUAGCGUGAAGGAUGACUGCCAUAUGGGUUGUAAACUUCUUUUAUAUGGGAAUAAAAUGUUCCACGUGUGGGAUUUUGUAUGUACCAUAUGAAUAAGGAUCGGCUAACUCCGUGCCAGCAGCCGCGGUAAUACGGAGGAUCCGAGCGUUAUCCGGAUUUAUUGGGUUUAAAGGGAGCGUAGGUGGAUUGUUAAGUCAGUUGUGAAAGUUUGCGGCUCAACCGUAAAAUUGCAGUUGAAACUGGGAGUAGGGAGUAAAGUAGGGGUGGGAGGAAUUCGUGGGUUAGGGGGGAAAGGCUGAG